rnacentral:rRNA from 1 species
GACAUUGCGGCGUGCCUAAGAAUGCAAGUCGAGCGGGGUAGCAAUACCCAGCGGCGAACGGUCGCGUAACACCUAUGCAACCUGCCCCAGAGACCGGGACAACAGUGGGAAACCGCUGCUAAUACCGGAUGCGCCCAUCCUUUCGCAUGAUGUGGAUGAGUAAAGCGAAGCAGUUCGGCUCUGGGAGGGGCUUGCGGCCUAUCAGCUAGAUGGGGGGGUAGUGGCUCACCAUGGCGACGACGGGUAGCUGGUCUGAGAGGAUGGUCAGCCGGACUGGGACUGAGAUACGGCCCAGACUCCUACGGGGGGCAGCAAUUAGGAAUCUUGCGCAAUGGGCGAAAGCCUGACGCAGCGACGCCGCGUGGAGGAGGAAGGCCUUCGGGUUGUAAACU